ensembl:lncRNA
CACUGUCAUUUACACUUACACACACACACACACACACACACACACACACACACACACACACAUGCUAUCUCUUCAAGAAUGAAAAAAAAAAGAUCUAGUUCCUGACUUGAGGCAAAUGUUUGUUGGAAUAAGUGGUGAUUUCCUGGUCGUGCAUUAAAGGGAGAUGAGACUUCUUUUAACCGGAGUGUUAAUCCAGCAGCGGAUGAGACGCAGCACGGAGCACGCAGAAGUAAAAAACAGGAAGAGUGACGGAGUGUAUAGGUGCGAGCAGUGACAUUAGGAAUGUCUCCUCUGGUUUUAAUGCACCGUUGCCCGUCGGUGGAGGAUGCAGGCUAAAGCUCGGCACACAUGAAGCCCAUUUACCGUCAUCCUCGCAUCUGUUCUCACUAAUCCCCUCCAGACGUAACAAUAUGUUCUCCAAUAAGAUUAUGAUUGCUCAAUAAGCCUUAUCUAUGUAAUUCAGAAAACAUAUACCGCUUUAAACCAGCUCGCUAGAUUAGAGCAGUUUGGAGCUAAUCUGGAGUCAGUCUGGAGUCAAUCUGUGCUGCUGGGGGGGGAGGAGGGGGGAGGGGGAAUUAUUUUAAUCUGGGUGGAAAUAAUCCUGUGAUUCCCCCUCAGUCUGUUUUGUUUUAUUCCGAGCCCGAGUGUGUGAGUUGAUUUAACGUCAUACUAAUCCUCCAGUCGCUGUCUGGCUGAGGCUCGAGACACCCCGGGAGUUUGAAGCGUGUGUAAUUUACACGCACGCUGUUAUUAAUGAAAUCAGCACUUGAAUUGAUUAGACAAGCAGAUUAUGAUGAUGUGAGCGUGAGCAGAUUACUGUAUUGACUGCGUCUUGUUUAAUAAAGGUGUAAUCACAGCGUAAUUAAGCGCACUAUUUACAGCUUAUUAUAAGAGUUAGGUACAUCCGAGGUUUAAUAGAUAAUUGAACACUGGUGUGGUUUUUUUUUUUAUUCAUUUGGAUGUGGAUGAACGAAGCUGGUUUGAUGUUUAUUGAAAACAUGUCUAAAGCUCCAAGGAUAAAUUUUGCCAAUAAAAUGCCAAUGCUAAUAAAAUGUGACGGAAAAUAAACAAACUAUGAACGAUACUACACGAGUGUAGACUCAUGAACAAAUUUUAAACUAGAACCUUUAAGGGUUCUUCGGUUAGCCGCGGAGGAGACGGGGAUGUUAAGGUUCCACGAAGAAACCUAUCGGGGGAAGGGCCGAGUGACAGCCUGAGGACGCCGAGGACCCUAUCCGAGCUAUCCAAGAACCCCUGUGGAACCUUUUAUUUAAUGAGAGAAAGAGAGAAAGAGAGAAACUAGCAAAAGAAAGAAUGAAAGUUACGAGGAAAUGAAAGAAAGAAAGAAACUAACCAGCCAACUAACUAAAGAAAGGAAAAAAUGAAUGUCAUACGCUUACAAGGAAAAGAAAGAAAGAGAGAAUUUAUGUAACAAAAGAAAGAAUGAACGUUACAAGGAAAUGAAAGAAAGAAACAAAGAAAACAUGACAAGUGGGAAAAAAAUGGGAAGGUGGAAUAAAAAAUGAAAAAUAAAGGAAGUAAGAAUUUUAGUUCUAUAAUAUUUCAUUUAUUAUUAUUAUUAUUAUUAUUAUUAUUAUUAUUAUUAUUAUACACAUUUUUACAAGAAAGGAAAAAAUGAAAAAUCUAAGAAAAUAAACUGGAGAAUUUCCUCAUCACGUUGUGUUACUAUUGUGUUCGUGUUGUGUUCAUGUUGUGUUACUGUUGUGUUCAUGUUGUGUUCGCAGUAUGCGUUCAUGUUGUGUUGGUGUUGUGUUACUGUUGUGUUCAUGUUGUGUUUGCAGUAUGUGUUCAUGUUGUGUUCGUGUUGUGUUCAUUAUGUGUUCAUGUUGUGUUCGUGUUGUGUUCGUGUUGUGUUCCUGUUGUGUUCCUUAUGUUUUCAUGUUGUGUUCAUGUUGUGUUACUGUUGUGUUCGUGUUGUUUGUGUUGUGUUCAUGUUGUGUUUGCAGUAUGUGUUCAUGUUGUGUUCGUGUUGUGUUCCUGUUGUGCUCGUGUUGUGUUUGCAGUAUGUGUUCAUGUUGUGUUCAUGUUGUGUUCAUGUUGUGUUCAUGUUGUGUUCGUGUUGUGUUCAUG